rnacentral:sRNA from 1 species
CGCUGGCCGCUGGCCGCCGCUUUUGUGGGUCAGUUGAAGGUGGAGGCGUCAGCUUGUUACCAAUUCUUGUGCUUCUUCUCUUCUCUGCUUUUGGCCAACUCGAAAAGGUGAAGGCCAGAACCGGCUAGGUCUGUCCAUCUCUUGUUAAUUAGUCAAAGUAGAUGACGCGAGCCGCGCACCAAACCGGGGAUCGGUUCACUAUAAGAGUUGGAUUCUACUCCAUGCCACCACACCUUAACGUUAUUAUUUGGUUACUUCUAUAGCCAGGCCAAGGAACUGUGUAUGUAUGUAUGUAUGUAUGUACUAUUUUACCCAUCACGUUCCGCUCAGGUUUAAAGUGAGAAAAUAAUUAAUGAUGACAGUUUGUAGCCGCUUAUUAUAAGUAUUAUUUAUGUUGUUUGCCCAAUUGUUUAUUGUUUGCUCAGUGCGGGCCUGAGAAUGACCGCGAGAGUAAGAGUGAGAGUGAGUGAGCCAGCUGUCCUCACUGUGUACAUACAUACAUAUAUACAUUUGUAAAUGCACCUGUGGGGGAGCGUGAGAAUGAGCCGUGUGCGUAGUAAACUCUGCGGCCAUUGUUUGAGUGAGCUGUAAAAGCAAGUGGAGCAAGAAUACGGUAGAGAGAGAGCGAGGACUGCUCUCUGAGCGCGUCUACAUACGAGACUUUUUACACACACACAUGUGCGUUCGAUGACAGCACUUGUUGUCUCUUACCAUCCUCUCUGAACGACGCUCUCUCACCAACAACAAAAACAACGGCCAGAAAAGUAACACAGAGCUUGAGUGAAGUGUGAGUGCAGGUGGCACCGCAGCAGAGAGAGCAGAGUGCCUUGAGCCUGUCACUCAACCCACCACCGCUCUCAAUGAAGUAAAAGAGACAAUACAUAACGAUCAAUUCCAAUUUCGCAUUAAUUAUCGCACUGACAAGUGACAACAAUGUAUUAUAUGUAAAUCUAUAAUCUAUUAUUAGAUCUUUGAUUGCCAAUCGGUUCUACCAGUAAACAUAACGAAUUAACCAUGCUUAA